GCCUGGGUGGCUCAGUCGGUUGAGCGUCCGACUUCGGCUCAGGUCAUGAUCUCAUGGUUCGUGAGUUUGAGCCCCACAUCAGGCU
rnacentral:tRNA from 1 species